rnacentral:rRNA from 1 species
UUAGUUUACUAUUGGAGCGGUUAGUGGCGGACUGGUGAGUAACACGUAAGCAACCUGCCUAUCAGAGGGGAACAACAGUUAGAAAUGACUGCUAAUACCGCAUGGACACAUAGGUGUCGCAUGGCACUUAUGUCAAAGAUUUAUCGCUGAAAGAUGGACCCGCGUCUGAUUAGCUGGUUGGUGAGGUAACGGCCCACCAAGGCGACGAUCAGUAGCCGGCCUGAGAGGGUGAACGGCCACAUUGGGACUGAGACACGGCCCAAACUCC